UCUGUGUGUUGGUUUCUUAGUCGAGUUUACUCUGUUUCCUUUCAAUCAUUAGAAGGAUAACAAGUGUUCAUUAUAGAAAAUGUGGGUAGGAUUGCUGUGUACCUCUAGAUGGUGCUGCUGGCUCACAACUAAGUUGUCACAAUAUUCAAACCCAAGGCAGAAGAAAGAGUUCUGACCUCUGAGGAACUGUCUCUACAUCUGUGACUCUGCCUCUUGUUGAUUUGCAGGAAGUUGUAUUUGAAAAUGCUUCCACCCGGCCAAUUCUGCAUCUCAUCUCUUUCCACAUCUGCAGCAAUUACAACUACGUCUGGAACAAAGAAAGUGCCCACCAGCAGCAUGUAUCUGCAGAUAGGUCUCCGGUGUGCUAAUCUUGAGUCUAUUACAAAAGUCUCUGCCCCUAAAAAGCCUACAUAUUCUUACCCCAAAUUGCUAGUGAC